GACGAACGCUGGCGGCGUGCUUAACACAUGCAAGUCGAACGGAAAGGCCCGGCUUUUGUGGGGUGCUCGAGGGGCGAACGGGUGAGUAACACGUGAGUAACGUGCCCUUGAUGUUGGGAUAACUUCAGGAAACUGGGGCUAAUACCGGAUAGGAGCUCCUGCUGCAUGGUGGGGGUUGGAAAGUUUCGGCGGUUGGUGAUGUACUCGCGGCUUAUCAGCUUGUUGGUGGGGUAGUGGCUUACCAAGGCUUGGACGGGUAGCCGGCCUGAGAGGGUGACCGGCCACACUGGGACUGAGAUACGGCUCAGACUCCUACGGGAGGCAGCAGUGGGGAAUAUUGCACAAUGGGCGGAAGGCUGGUGCAGCAACGCCGCGCGCGGGAUGACGGCCUUCGGGUUGUAAACCGCUUUCGCCUGUGACGAAGCGUGAGUGACGGUAAUGGGUAAAGAAGCACCGGCUAACUACGUG
rnacentral:rRNA from 1 species